UACAGAGGGUGCGAGCGUUGUCCGGAAUCACUGGGCGUAAAGGGCGCGUAGGCGGCCUGAUAAGUAGGGGGUGAAAUCUUGCGGCUCAACCGCAAGGCUGCCUUCUAAACUGUCAGGCUGGAGCACGGUAGAGGCAGAUGGAAUUCCCGGUGUAGCGGUGGAAUGCGUAGAGAUCCGGAAGAACACCGGUGGCGAAGGCGGCCUGCUGGGCAGUAGCUGACACUGAGGCGCGACAGCGUGGGGAGCAAACAGG
rnacentral:rRNA from 1 species